GUGCCAGCCGCCGCGGUAAUACGUAGGGCCCGAGCGUUAUCCGGUAUUAUUGGGCGUAAAGAGCGCGUAGGUGGUUUGGUAAGACAGUGGUGAAAUAUCUGAGCUCAACUCAGGGAACGCCACUGUUACUGCCAGACUUGACGAUAGCAGGGGCAAGCAGAAUUCUCGGUGUAGGGGUGAAAUCCGUUGAGAUCGAGAGGAAUACCAAUGGCGAAGGCAGCUUGCUAGGCUAUAUGUGACACUGAGGCGCGAAAGCGUGGGGAGCGAACGGGAUUAGAAACCCCCGUAGUCC
rnacentral:rRNA from 1 species